rnacentral:rRNA from 2 species
GGGCGUUAAGUUGCAGGGUAUAGACCCGAAACCCGGUGAUCUAGCCAUGGGCAGGUUGAAGGUUGGGUAACACUAACUGGAGGACCGAACCGACUAAUGUUGAAAAAUUAGCGGAUGACCUGUGGCUGGGGGUGAAAGGCCAAUCAAACCGGGAGAUAGCUGGUUCUCCCCGAAAGCUAUUUAGGUAGCGCCUCGUGAAUUCAUCUCCGGGGGUAGAGCACUGUUUCGGCUAGGGGGCCAUCCCGGCUUACCAACCCGAUGCAAACUGCGAAUACCGGAGAAUGUUAUCACGGGAGACACACGGCGGGUGCUAACGUCCGUCGUGAAGAGGGAAACAACCCAGACCGCCAGCUAAGGUCCCAAAGUCAUGGUUAAGUGGGAAACGAUGUGGGAAGGCCCAGACAGCCAGGAUGUUGGCUUAGAAGCAGCCAUCAUUUAAAGAAAGCGUAAUAGCUCACUGGUCGAGUCGGCCUGCGCGGAAGAUGUAACGGGGCUAAACCAUGCACCGAAGCUGCGGCAGCGAACGUAUCACCCAAGACAACUUUACGGAGUUGACGAUUGACGGAGCGAAGCGACGUCAAAGCGUUCAUUAAAGUCGAGUUGGCUUAGGGAUACGUUCGUUGGGUAGGGGAGCGUUCUGUAAGCCUGUGAAGGUGGCCUGUGAGGGUUGCUGGAGGUAUCAGAAGUGCGAAUGCUGACAUAAGUAACGAUAAAGCGGGUGAAAAGCCCGCUCGCCGGAAGACCAAGGGUUCCUGUCCAACGUUAAUCGGGGCAGG